GUGUAGCCGCCGGAGGACGGGUAUUGUUGAUGUCAAUAUAACAGAUUUUUCUGCUGCAUA
rnacentral:tRNA from 1 species